GACGAACGCUGGCGGCGUGCUUAACACAUGCAAGUCGAGCGGAAGGGCCCUGCUUUUGUGGGGUGCUCGAGUGGCGAACGGGUGAGUAACACGUGAGUAACCUGCCCUUGCCUUUGGGAUAACUUCUGGUAACUCGGGCUAAUACCGGAUAGGAGCUUUUGCUGCACGUUGGGGGAGGGUGAGUUUCGGCGGUUGGGGAUGGACUCGCGGGUUAUCCGCUUCUUGGUGGGGUAGUUGCUUACCAAGGCUUUGAAGGGUAGCCGGCCUGGGAGGGGAGCCGGCCACGCUACGACGGGGAUACGACCCAGACGCGAAUGGUAGGCAAGGGUGGAGAGGGUUACACAGUAGGCGGGAGGCAGAUGCGGCAACGCCGCGUGCGGGAUGACGGGCUUCUGGUUGUAAACCGCUGUCGCUUGUGCCGAGGCGAGGGUGACGGUACCGGGUAAAGAAGCACCGGCUAACUACGUG
rnacentral:rRNA from 1 species